GACAGAAGGUGCAAGCGUUACUCGGAAUUACUGGGCGUAAAGCGUCUGUAGGUGUCCUUCCACGUCUGGAUUUAAAUUGCGAAGCUCAACUUCGCAUCUGAUCUGGAAACGAGAAGGAUCGAGUCAUUCAGAGGCAUCUGGAAUGUCAUGUGUAGGGGUAAAAUCCGUAGAUACAUGAUGGAACGCCAAAAGCGAAGGCAGGAUGCUAGGAAUGUACUGACACUCAGAGACGAAAGCGUGGGGAGCAAAGGGGAUUAGAAACCCCUGUAGU
rnacentral:rRNA from 1 species